rnacentral:sRNA from 1 species
UUUACACUGUUUUUACAUCUGUUUUAGGUUGAUGGAGAGAACCAGUCUUGAAUCUAGAAAGCCAAAGAUGUCAUCCUUUUGGGGUGUAACACGUGAUGACGGUGUGGACAUUGGUCACUCAGAGUAUAUUACUCGACUUACAGCCUUGAGAGAUUCUUUGAUUGACCAAGAACAGGUUUAUUUAGCUCAAGCACUUGACCGGCUGAGAAUUCAUUCCCUAACU